rnacentral:rRNA from 1 species
UACGUAGGGUGCGAGCGUUAAUCGGAAUUACUGGGCGUAAAGCGUGCGCAGGCGGUUCGUUAAGUCAGAUGUGAAAGCCCCGGGCUCAACCUGGGAACUGCAUUUGAAACUGGCGGGCUUGAGUGUGGCAGAGGGGGGUGGGAAUUCCGCGUGUAGCAGUGAAAUGCGUAGAGAUCCGGAGGAACCCCAGAGGCGAAGGCGGCGCCUGGCUCGCAACUGACGCUCAGACACGACAGCAUGGGGAGCGAACGGG